GCGGACACUUUCAAGGGCUGCACCGCUGCCGCAAAAGCAACCCUAUGCCACCGCCCC
rnacentral:ncRNA from 23 species